AUUGAACGCUGGCGGCAUGCCUUACACAUGCAAGUCGAACGGCAGCACGGGAGCAAUCCUGGCGGCGAGUGGCGAACGGGUGAGUAAUAUAUCGGAACGUGCCCAGUAGUGGGGGAUAACUGCUCGAAAGAGCAGCUAAUACCGCAUACGACCUGAGGGUGAAAGGGGGGGAUCGCAAGACCUCUCGCUAUUGGAGCGGCCGAUAUCAGAUUAGCUAGUUGGUGGGGUAAAGGCCUACCAAGGCAACGAUCUGUAGUUGGUCUGAGAGGACGACCAGCCCCACUGGGACUGAGACACGGCCCAGACUCCUACGGGAGGCAGCAGUGGGGAAUUUUGGACAAUGGGCGCAAGCCUGAUCCAGGAAUGCCGCGUGCAGGAAGAAGGCCUUCGGGUUGUAAACUGCUUUUGUCAGGGAAGAAAUCCUCUAGGUUAAUACCCUUGGGGGGAUGACGGUACCUGAAGAAUAAGCACCGGCUAACUACGUGCCAGCCGCCGCGGUAAUAC
rnacentral:rRNA from 1 species